GCGAACGGGUGAGUAACACGUGGGCAAUCUGCCCUUCACUCUGGGACAAGCCCUGGAAACGGGGUCUAAUACCGGAUACCACUCCUGCCUGCAUGGGCGGGGGUUGAAAGCUCCGGCGGUGAAGGAUGAGCCCGCGGCCUAUCAGCUUGUUGGUGGGGUAAUGGCCCACCAAGGCGACGACGGGUAGCCGGCCUGAGAGGGCGACCGGCCACACUGGGACUGAGACACGGCCCAGACUCCUACGGGAGGCAGCAGUGGGGAAUAUUGCACAAUGGGCGAAAGCCUGAUGCAGCGACGCCGCGUGAGGGAUGACGGCCUUCGGGUUGUAAACCUCUUUCAGCAGGGAAGAAGCGAAAGUGACGGUACCUGCAGAAGAAGCGCCGGCUAACUACGUGCCAGCAGCCGCGGUAAUACGUAGGGCGCAAGCGUUGUCCGGAAUUAUUGGGCGUAAAGAGCUCGUAGGCGGCUUGUCACGUCGGAUGUGAAAGCCCGAGGCUUAACCUCGGGUCUGCAUUCGAUACGGGCUAGCUAGAGUGUGGUAGGGGAGAUCGGAAUUCCUGGUGUAGCGGUGAAAUGCGCAGAUAUCAGGAGGAACACCGGUGGCGAAGGCGGAUCUCUGGGCCAUUACUGACGCUGAGGAGCGAAAGCGUGGGGAGCGAACAGGAUUAGAUACCCUGGUAGUCCA
rnacentral:rRNA from 3 species